rnacentral:rRNA from 1 species
AAGUCUGAUGGAGCAACGCCGCGUGAGUGAAGAAGGUUUUCGGAUCGUAAAGCUCUGUUGUUGGUGAAGAAGGAUAGAGGUAGUAACUGGCCUUUAUUUGACGGUAAUCAACCAGAAAGUCACGGCUAACUACGUGCCAGCAGCCGCGGUAAUACGGUAGGUGGCAAGCGUUGUCCGGAUUUAUUGGGCGUAAAGCGAGCGCAGGCGGAAAAAUAAGUCUAAUGUGAAAGCCCUCGGCUUAACCGAGGAAUUGCAUCGGAAACUGUUUUUCUUGAGUGCAGAAGAGGAGAGUGGAACUCCAUGUGUAGCGGUGGAAUGCGUAGAUAUAUGGAAGAACACCAGUGGCGAAGGCGGCUCUCUGGUCUGCAACUGACGCUGAGGCUCGAAAGCAUGGGUAGCGAACAGGAUUAGAUACCCUGGUAGUCCAUGCCGUAAACGAUGAGUGCUAAGUGUUGGGAGGUUUCCGCCUCUCAGUGCUGCAGCUAACGCAUUAAGCACUCCGCCUGGGGAGUACGACCGCAAGGUUGAAACUCAAAGGAAUUGACGGGGGCCCGCACAAGCGGUGGAGCAUGUGGUUUAAUUCGAAGCAACGCGAAGAACCUUACCAGGUCUUGACAUCUAGCGCCAAUCGUAGAGAUACGAUGUUCCCCUUCGGGGACGCUAAGACAGGUGGUGCAUGGCUGUCGUCAGCUCGUGUCGUGAGAUGUUGGG